GGCCCCUGCCCUCCUGCAGCUGGUCCCUCCUAGGGACCCCAGCCCGGCCAGCACCCCUCGUUACAGGCCCCACCGCGGGAAGGCACUCGGCCAGCUCUCUCUCGCUGCCCCCAGGGUUAGCAGAAGCCACGUGAGGGGAGGCCGCCGAUGGAACUCCGCCAUUGUACUACCACCCAGCUUAGCGUGGUCCUGGUCCUCAGAUGCUUCCGCAGCAGCCUCCCCGCAGCAGUCACUGGCUGUGGUGCAGGUCACGCUGGUCAGCAUGAGGGCCCCGAGCGCGGAGGCCACCCUGCACCAGGUCAGUCCCCCCGUGGGCCGGGCAGCCGGCUCUCUCCCUGCUCUCCAGUCAGGGCCCCCCGAGAGCCUACGGGAGACUUGGUGGGCAGUGGAGGGCGGGUGAGGCUUUGGGCCACAAGGCAGGUGGGGGACUGAG
rnacentral:lncRNA from 1 species